AAUUUUCCACAAUGGGCGCAAGCCUGAUGGAACAACGCCGCGUGCAGGAUGAAGGAUUUCGGUCUGUAAACUGCUUUGGAGCGGGAAGAACGCCGUUUGGGUGAACAAUCCAGACGGGUGACGGUACCUGCAGAAGAAGCGCCGGCUAACUACGUGCCAGCAGCCGCGGUAAUACGUAGGGCGCAAGCGUUGUCCGGAAUUAUUGGGCGUAAAGAGCUCGUAGGCGGUCUGUUACGUCCGCUGUGAAAACCCAGGGCUUAACCCUGGGCUUGCAGUGGAUACGGGUAGACUAGAGGCAGGUAGGGGAGAAUGGAAUUCCCGGUGUAGCGGUGAAAUGCGCAGAUAUCGGGAGGAACACCGGUGGCGAAGGCGGUUCUCUGGGCCUGACCUGACGCUGAGGAGCGAAAGCGUGGGGAGCGAAC
rnacentral:rRNA from 1 species